AUUGAACGCUGGCGGCAUGCUUUACACAUGCAAGUCGAACGAGUGGCGAACGGGUGAGUAAUAUAUGGGAACGUACCGAGUAAUGGGGGAUAACCAAUCGAAAGAUUGGCUAAUACCGCAUAUUAUUCGAGCGGCCGAUAACUGAUUAGCUAGUUGGUGGGGUAAAGGCCUACCAAGUCGACGAUCAGUAGCGGGUCUGAGAGGACGAUCCGCCACACUGGGACUGAGACACGGCCCAGACUCCUAGGGGGGGCAGCAGUGGGGAAUUUUGGACAAUGGGGACGACCCUUAUCCAGACAUGCCGCGUGUAUGAAGAGGGCCUUCAGGUUGUAAAGUACUUUGGUUAGGAAAACGGUACCUAAAGAAUAAGCACCGGCUAACUACUUGCAAGCAGCCGCGGUAAAC
rnacentral:rRNA from 1 species